GAAUGCUCUGAUACAGAACCAGAAGAACAAUCUGCAACUCUAAGGACAAGGACAAGAGAUGGAAGCCUAAACACCUUGAAAAAGAUUUUUGCAGCACCUCUAAGAUUGUGAAGUGCAGGUUAAAAGUCACCUAUUCUGACACCAGUUUUCCGAAAAGAAGUCCUUGAUGGUAGCUGCAAAUUGCCGCAGAAUGCAAUGAUAAGGCGUAGGAGUGCCUUAACACCCAGAAGAUGUAUGAUACAUCAAAUUUUGUUUCGGGAUUAAAAUGCAAUGCAAUAAUUUAAAGGAUAA